UACGGAGGGGGCUAGCGUUGUUCGGAAUUACUGGGCGUAAAGCGCGCGUAGGCGGCCCGGUAAGUCCGCUGUGAAAGUCAAAGGCUCAACCUUUGAAUGUCAGCGGAUACUGCCAGGCUAGAGUCCGGAAGAGGCGAGUGGAACUCCUGGUGUAGCGGUGGGAUGCGCAGAUAUCAGGAAGAACACCAACGGCGAAGGCAGCUCGCUGGGACGGAACUGACGCUGAGGCGCGAAAGCGUGGGGAGCGAACAGG
rnacentral:rRNA from 1 species